UUCAAAACUUAGAUGUGUGUUUGAAUUGCCAGCAGAGAAUGAUAAACCAGUAAGUAUGUUUAUAAUUAACAAUAAUUGAACGUUGUAAGCUGAUACUUAUUUGCAUACCAUUUCCUGCAAAACCAAGAUUUAAGUUGGCAAAUUAUUUUCCUUUAUCUGAUGUCUGAAGAAAAAAAUAAGCUGAAGUCAGCAAAUAAGUGGGCCUUUAUGAAAUCGGCCUUUGAAAAACUCACAGAAAGACAACUGAUUGAAACAGUGUUUCCCCUUGAAAAGUGCAGCCCGAUGGCGGUUGAGAUGUCAUAAAUCCUGAAGAGCUUCUAUGGCCUGGCGAAGGUAUAGGUUGCUGUUAAACAGUGGGUGAGAGUGAAAGGGAAUAAUUUGCCCUUUAUCAUGGUGCUUGAUGGACGUGUGGGAAGCUUUCAGGUUCUCUUGUUUUACAAAGUGCCCUGUCAGCCUCCCUACCCCUUUUACCCUAUCUGCCUCUUCAAUCAAAGGCUGCUUUUAGAUGAGGAUUUCUCAACCUCAGCACUGUUGAUAUUUGGGGCAGAUGAUUCUUGGUAGUGGAGGUUGCCAUGUGUACUGUAGGGUGUUUUAUUAAUAGCAGCAUCCCUGGCUUCUGCCCUCUUGAUACUGGUAGUACUUCCCAGUUGUGACAACUAAAAAUGUCUCCAGAUAUUGCCACAUGUGUCCUGGAGGGCAAUAUCAACCCCCAUUGAGAGUGAUCCCAUUUCGGUGUUGCCUGCGGGGAGAAGGAAGGAGCCCCAUCCUCUAGGCUGUCCACUUGCAAGUGCUUUCACCCUUCAUGGUCCUCACUUGUGACCAGUUGAAGAAAGGAGACUGUAUCUGAAAUGCUAAUUUGGACUUCCCUUCAACCUAGCCGAAAACAUUUUAAUUUCUAUAAAAACACCAAAACUGUGAAAACAUGCAGCAUAUGAAACUACCCUAGCCGUUAAUAGCUGGAGUUGGGAAACAAAAGUGCCCUGAAAUGUUGUGUUAACAGUAUCUAUGUUGGUCUGCGGGAAUGCUGUUGAUUUGUGUCAAAACUACCUGAUAUUUUAUUUCUGCUGAAUCAUUUAUCACUAUCAUUACCCUGUUUCUUUAAGUGGAUAGUGGUCAUUUUUUCCCUCUUCCCAAUGUACAUCCUGUCACAGGAAGGUCAGUUUGGAAGCUGUGAAAACAGUAUUCUGGCCUCAGCUCUGUGAUAGGUUGAUUUGGUAGCCUGGGGCCUUGCUUCACAGGGCCUACUCUUCUCGUCUGGAAAAUAAUGGGUAGAGCUGGAUUCCAGGUCAAUGAUCGUCAGUUACUCUUUCCCUGACAAGCUGCGUGCUUCCAUACCCUCCCUCCACUGACUGGCUCUCAUCCCCAGUAAAUCUCCAGAGGGGUCACAGCUCAGUCUUGGCAGCAGAAAUAAGGGGAGUAUGUAACUUCCCAAGAUUGAAACAUUGCAGACACUGAGCUUGUUUCACCCUCAUCCCAGCUUCCAAAUGCUAAGUUGGUAAAGUAGUUUGCCCUCUGUCUAAUGCUCUCCCAAGCCUCCUGCCCCCACCAAGGCAAUCCUAGGGAUGUUCACAUCUUUGUGGUGACAGUAAUUUGUGGCUAAUAAUUCCUGAGCUUGCACAAUUACAGUAUGCUAAUUUUUGCAUGGCAGGAAUUUGAUAGUGCAAUAUACACAGCCCUUUUUUCUCUUUCUUUGAAGUAUUAGUCUCAGCCGAACUUCAUUAUUUGCCCUUAUCCAUAAUUUCUAGGGCCCUGUUGCUUUAGAUUAUUAAGAUACCAGAUAAAGUAAUCCAUUUUAAAAAUAAGUGUGACAUUUUACAGUGUGGAUGAAAUGCUACCACGUUUGGUGUUUGCUGAGAACUACUUUACUUGGCAUAAAAAAGUCCUUUAUUACAUGGUCGGUGACACUUAGGCUUUCAUUUGUUUUUGAACAGCAUGAUGUAGAAAUAAAUAAAAUUAUAUCCACAACUGCAUCAAAGACAGAAACACCAAUAGUGUCUAAGUCUCUGAGUUCUUCUUUGGAUGACACCGAAGUUAAGAAGGUUAUGGAAGAAUGUAAGAGGCUGCAAGGUGAAGUUCAGAGGCUACGGGAGGAGAACAAGCAGUUCAAGGAAGAAGAUGGACUGCGGAUGAGGAAGACAGUGCAGAGCAACAGCCCCAUUUCAGCAUUAGCCCCAACUGGGAAGGAAGAAGGCCUUAGCACCCGGCUCUUGGCUCUGGUGGUUUUGUUCUUUAUCGUUGGUGUAAUUAUUGGGAAGAUUGCCUUGUAGAGGUAGCAUGCACAGGAUGGCAAAUUGGAUUGAUGGAUCCACCAUAUCAUGGGAUUUAAAUUUAUCAUAACCAUGUGUAAAAAGAAAUUAAUGUAUGAUGACAUCUCACAGGUCUUGCCUUUAAAUUACCCCUCCCUGCACACACAUACACAGAUACACACACACAAAUAUAAUGUAACAAUCUUUUAGAAAGUUAAAAAUGUAUAGUAACUGAUUGGGGGGGGAAAGAAUGAUCUUUAUUAAUGACAAGGGAAACCAUGAGUAAUGCCACAAUGGCAUAUUGUAAAUGUCAUUUUAAACAUUGGUAGGCCUUGGUACAUGAUGCUGGAUUACCUCUCUUAAAAUGACACCCUUCCUUGCCUGUUGGUGCUGGCCCUUGGGGAGCUGGAGCCCAGCAUGGUAGGGAGUGCGGUCAGCUCCACGCAGUAGUCCCCACGUGGCCCACUCCCGGCCCAGGCUGCUUUCUGUGUCUUCAGUUCUGUCCAAGCCAUCAGCUCCUUGGGACUGAUGAACAGAGUCAGAAGCCCAAAGGAAUUGCACUGUGGCAGCAUCAGACAUACUCGUCAUAAGUGAGAGGCGUGUGUUGACUGAUUGACCCAGCGCUUUGGAAAUAAAUGGCAGUGCUUUGUUCACUUAAAGGGACCAAGCUAAAGUUGUAUUGGUUCAUGUAGUGAAGUCGAACUGUUAUUCAGAGAUGUUUAAUGCAUAUUUAACUUAUUUAAUGUAUUUCAUCUCAUGUUUUCUUAUUGUCACAAGAGUACAGUUAAUGCUGCGUGCUGCCGAACUCUGUUGGGUGAACUGGUAUUGCUACUGGAGGGCUGUGGGCUCCUCUGUCUCUGGAGAGUCUGGUCAUGUGGAGGUGGGGUUUAUUGGAAUGUUGGAGAAGAGCUGCCAGGAAGUGUUUUUUUCUGGGUCAGUAAAUAACAACUGUCAUAGGGAGGGAAAUUCUCAGUAGUGACAGUCAACUCUAGGUUACCUUUUUUAAUGAAGAGUAAUCAGUCUUCUAGAUUCUUCUUACACCACCUCUCAACCAUUACUCACACUUCCAGCGCCCAGGUCCAAGUCUGAGCCUGACCUCCGCUUGGGGACCUAGCCUGGAGUCAGGACGAAUGGAUCAGGCUGCAGAGGGUUAGAAGCGAGGGCACCAGCAGUUGUGGGUGGGGAGCAGGGGAAGAGAGAAACUCUUCAGCUAAUCCUUCUACUACUAGUUGAGAGUUUGACUGUGAAUUAAUUUUAUGCCAUAAAAGACCAAUCCAGUUCUGUUUGACUAUGUAGCAUCUUGAAAAGGAAAAUUAUAAUAAAGCCCCAAAAUUAAGAA
rnacentral:sRNA from 1 species